rnacentral:rRNA from 1 species
GUUUGAUCAUGGCUCUGAUUGAACGCUGCUGGCGGAUGCUUUACACAUGAAGUCGAACGGCAGCACGGACUUCGGUCUGGUGGCGAGUGGCGAACGGGUGUACGUAUCGGAACGCCUAGUAGUGUAGAACUACGCGAAAGCGUAGCUAAUACCGCAUACGCCCUUCGGGGGAAAGCGGGGGGACCUUCGGGCCUCGCACUAUUAGAGCGGCUGAUAUCGGAUUAGCUAGUUGGUGGGGUACCGUCACUGCGGUGACGAUCCGUAGCUGGUUUGAGAGGACGACUACUACACUGGGACUGAGACACGGCCCAGACUCCUACGGGAGGCAGCAGUGGGGAAUUUUGGACAAUGGGGGAACCUGAUCCAGCCAUCCCGCGUAGGCGAUGAAGGCCUUCGGGUUGUAAAAGCACUUUUGGCAGGAAAGAAACGGCACGGGAUAAUACCCCGUGCAACUGACGGUACCUGCAGAAUAAGCACCGGCUAACUACGUGCCAGCAGCCGCGGUAAUACGUAGGGUGCAAGCGUUAAUCGGAAUUACUGGGCGUAAGCGCGUGCAGGCGGUUCGGAAAGAAAGAUGUGAAAUCCCAGAGCUUAACUUUGGAACUGCAUUUUUAACUACCGAGCUAGAGUGUACGAGGGAGGUGGAAUUCCGCGUGUAGCAGGAAAUGCGUAGAUAUGCGGAGGAACACCGAUGGCGAAGGCAGCCUCCUGGGAUAACAAAUUGACGCUCAUGCACGAAAGCGUGGGAGCAAACAGGAUUAGAUACCCUGGUAGUCCACGCCCUAAACGAUGUCAACUAGCUGUUGGGGGCCUUCGGGCCUUGGUAGCGCAGCUAACGCGUGAAGUUGACCGCCUGGGGAGUACGGUCGCAAGAUUAAAACUCAAAGGAAUUGACGGACCCGCACAAGCGGUGGAUGAUGUGGAUUAAUUCGAUGCAACGCGAAAAACCUUACCUACCUUUGAUAUGUCUGGAAUCCCGAAGAGAUUUGGGAGUGCUCGUGGAGAACCGGAACACAGGUGCCGCAUGGCUGUCGUCAGCUCGUGUCGUGAGAUGUUGGGUUAAGUCCCGCAACGAGCGGGCAACCCUUGUCAUUAGUUGAAGCGUACCUGACGAGACUGCCGGUGACAAACCGGAGGAAGGUGGGGAUGACGUCAAGUCCCUCAUGGCCUUUGCAGGGCUUCACACGUCAUACAAUGGUCGGGACUAUGAGGGUCGCCAACCCGCGAGGGGGAGCCAAUCCCAGAAACCCGACUGGGAAUCCGGAUCGCAGUCUGCACCUGACUGCGUGAAGUCGGAAUCACAGUAAUCUUAGAUCAGCAUGUCGCGGUGAAUACGUUCCCGGGUCUUGUACACACCGCCCGUCACACCAUGGAGUGGGUUUUACCAGAAGUAGUUAGCCUAACCGUAAGGAGGGCGAUUACCACGGUAGGAUUCAGCAUGACUGGGUGAAGUCGUAACAAGGUAG